rnacentral:rRNA from 1 species
GAUGAACGCUAGCUACAGGCUUAACACAUGCAAGUCGAGGGGAAACGGCAUUGAGUGCUUGCACUCUUUGGACGUCGACCGGCGCACGGGUGAGUAACGCGUAUCCAACCUUCCCAUUACUGUGGGAUAACCUGCCGAAAGGCAGACUAAUACCGCAUAGUCUUCGAUGACGGCAUCAGAUUUGAAGUAAAGAUUUAUCGGUAAUGGAUGGGGAUGCGUCUGAUUAGCUUGUUGGCGGGGUAACGGCCCACCAAGGCUACGAUCAGUAGGGGUUCUGAGAGGAAGGUCCCCCACAUUGGAACUGAGACACGGUCCAAACUCCUACGGGAGGCAGCAGUGAGGAAUAUUGGUCAAUGGACGGAAGUCUGAACCAGCCAAGUAGCGUGCAGGGUGACGGCCCUAUGGGUUGUAAACUGCUUUUGUAUGGGGAUAAAGUUAGGGACGUGUCCCUAUUUGCAGGUACCAUACGAAUAAGGACCGGCUAAUUCCGUGCCAGCAGCCGCGGUAAUACGGAAGGUCCAGGCGUUAUCCGGAUUUAUUGGGUUUAAAGGGAGCGUAGGCUGGAGAUUAAGUGUGUUGUGAAAUGUAGACGCUCAACGUCUGACUUGCAGCGCAUACUGGUUUCCUUGAGUACGCACAACGUUGGCGGAAUUCGUCGUGUAGCGGUGAAAUGCUUAGAUAUGACGAAGAACUCCGAUUGCGAAGGCAGCUGACGGGAGCGCAACUGACGCUUAAGCUCGAAGGUGCGGGUAUCAAACAGG